ensembl:lncRNA
GGAACCUUCCUGCAGGCUGCAGCUCUUCAUGUCCCCAGCUCAUCUACCCGCCGAUCCCGGCUCCCAGCGUGGUCGGGUGAAGCAUCAAGAAGAUGCCGGAACUCCACCAAUUCCUGAUGGAGCGCUGGGCACUGUACCAUAACCUGGAGUAUGAUUCCUCGGAGGAGAAGGAGCCCCGUCUGAUCUUCUACGAUGACAGGGACGAGGUGGUGCAGACGGUCCCUGUGAAAGAGAUGACGGCGGACGCCAUCGGCCAGCUGCUGGAGGCCCGCGGAUUCUACAGGAGGAGCCAGAAGGGAGAGGAGGUUCCCGAGGAGUUCCAGAACUUCCCCCUGCACGCCCCCAGAGACGAGCUCUGAGGGCCCCUAGUGGCCGCGGACCGCCGCUGCAGCCCUGUCGCUUAAUGACGAGUGGGGCUCCAAGGCUCAACUGUCAGCCCGGCCCUACUCCGAUAACCCCUCGACAGGCUGCGCAGUCCGAACUCCCCACCUCAAAAUAUAAAUUGUGAAAAAUAUGUGGUG